GAGAGGAUGGCAGACCCAGGGAGGGCGUGGAAGCUCUGUGCCUCGUUUCCUCACUUCCAUCUGUCAACCCAUGGAUGUCUUCUAUUUGACUGUUCCUGUGUGUAUCCAUUAUAACAACCCAGUAAAUAACCCCUGGGAGCAAGUGUGAUUAACACAGCUAUGAACUGAACACCAGUCAUCAGAAGUAAUCAAUGAACGUGUAUUAAGUGAAUAAGCAAGCAACGGUGCUUUGUUCUUGCUUUGGCUCAGCCACUAUAAAGUCUUCAUAAUGUGUUUUCUGCUUGCCUGUUCACCUGGAGACAAUGGUAAUGUAGAGCUGCCCAGAUCACGGUAAAUCCUGUUGCAAUGAAACAAGAAGAGAUAAACCCUCACAUCCAGACAAGGAAAACCACUGACUCUACAUCUUUUCCAAGAAGCAUCAUGGAACUUUGUGGUUCAGUCCACGUAGCUCACCUAUACGAUGUACAUUUCUCAAUAGUGCUAGGAAGAGGUGCUCAAGACAGAGUCACAGUGAACAUGAGCGCCAAGAAGAUGACCCUGCCUAUUCCAUCACUUCUUUGUA